GACGGAGGAGGCAAGCGUUAUCCGGAAUUAUUGGGCGUAAAGCGUCCGCAGGCGGCUUUUUAAGUCUGUUGUUAAAGCCCACAGCUCAACUGUGGAUCGGCAAUGGAAACUGGGAGGCUAGAGUGUGGUAGGGGUAGAGGGAAUUCCCGGUGUAGCGGUGAAAUGCGUAGAUAUCGGGAAGAACACCAGUGGCGAAGGCGCUCUACUGGGCCACAACUGACGCUGAGGGACGAAAGCUAGGGGAGCGAAAGGG
rnacentral:rRNA from 1 species